rnacentral:lncRNA from 1 species
UGCAUAAUGUGCAAAUAAUUUCUCCCAGUCUGCAGGUUGUCUGCUUAUUCUGUUGAUUGUUUCUUUCGCUGUGCAGACGCUGUAGUUCAAGUGAGUCUCAUUUGUCUAUUUUUUGUUUUUGUUGCAUUUGCCUUUGAGGUCUUAGUCAUAAGUUCUUCACCUAGGCCAAUGUCCAGAAGAGUUUUCCCUAGAUUUUCUUCUAGGAUCUUUAUAAUUUGAGGUCUUACAUUUGAGUCUUUGGCACAUCCUGAGGUAGUUUUUGUAUAUGGUGAGUAUUAGAGGCCCAAUUUCAUUCUUCUGCAUAUACCUAGUCAGUUUUUCC